rnacentral:misc_RNA from 1 species
CUCUCUCUCAAUACCAAUAAAUAUCACCACCGUCCUUCUCUCCUAUCACUAUUCAAUCUAUCGCAAACUCCUUUAUGUCUCUCCAAUUUUAUGAGAGGGUUUCCUUCAAGAACACAGUAAAAUAGAUUGGAUCUUUAAACUUUUGUUCCUUUUCAUGAGGG